AGUAGACAAUUGCUCAUCUCACACGUCUUUACAUAUAUUUUUCUAAUUUUCUAAUUUCAAUAGCUCCUUGGUCAUGUGACCUACUGAACUCAAACUACUUUCAGAAUGUCCACGGACUGGCGGAGACGGGCGUCGUGAUGUAUCCAGUGCGGUAACGCGACUGAUCCCGGAGAAGCUGGCGGGAGCCCCGGGGAAAGUUCCCUUUUCUUUGUGAAGGGCAGGGUGCCCUGUAAUGGGUUUGUUCCGAGAGAGGGGCCCAAGCCCUGGAAAGCGGUGCGGCAUCCGGUGAGCUCUCCCUGGCCCUUGAAAAUCUGGGGGAGAGGGUGUAAAUCUCAGGCCGGGCUGUACCCAUAUCCGCAGCAGGUCUUCAAGGUGAACAGCCUCU
rnacentral:ncRNA from 1 species